rnacentral:rRNA from 1 species
CCUACGGGAGGCUGCAGUGAGGAAUAUUGGUCAAUGGACGCAAGUCUGAACCAGCCAUGCCGCGUGCAGGAAGACGGCCCUAUGGGUUGUAAACUGCUUUUGUACGAGGGUAAACGCAGAUACGCGUAUCUGUCUGAAAGUAUCUUACGAAUAAGGAUCGGCUAACUCCGUGCCAGCAGCCGCGGUAAUACGGAGGAUUCAAGCGUUAUCCGGAUUUAUUGGGUUUAAAGGGUGCGUAGGCGGUCGGAUAAGUUAGUUGUGAAAUCCCGAGGCUCAACUUCAGAAUUGCAUCUGAUACUGGUCGGCUUGAGAGUAGUUGCGGUAGGCGGAAUGCAUGGUGUAGCGGUGAAAUGCUUAGAGAUCACACAGAACACCGAUUGCGAAGGCAGCUUACCAAGCUACUACUGACGUUGAGGCACGAAAGCGUGGGGAGCAAACAGGAUUAGAUACCCGAGUAGUC